UUCAGUGUACAGUUGACCAGUGGUCAGUACCAUAUCUGUCUGUGUGACAGCUGAAGGUCUUUGUGGUCUGUCGUCUAAUUAUAUUUUUAUUCCUGUACCUGGGACGGCCUGUAAGUGUAGAAAUAUUUUAUAUUUUUUACUAGAUCUAUACUAUGUGUAAGGUAGUUAUUUUAUUUUCUACUUGGACUAUUUGUCAUAAUAGUUGGCAACAUGCUGUACGGAAGAUGGCGACGUCCAUCAGUCCUAAUAGAAUAUAGAUCUAAUAUAGUUUUGCAUUUAUGUAUUGCAGGCUAUUGUUUCUGCUGUGUUACUGCUUAUAGCUGCUGUUAGCUGCUGCUGUUGAAUAUUACUGCUAAUACUAAUAGCUGCUGUUUAUAACUGCUAUUGUUAGAUCUAUUCUAAUUCUAGGGAAUCUAGAAUCUAGGAUUCUAGUGUUAUUUUGUUUCUGCUAUUGAUAGUUUUGUUAUUGUUUCUGUAGAUCUAUUCUAGAUAGAUCUAAUUCUAGGGAAGCUAGUGUUACUUUGUUUCUGCUAUUGAUAGUUUUGUUAUUGUUUCUGUAGAUCUAUUCUAGAACUAAUUCUAGGGAAGCUUAAGCUAGUGUUAUUUUGUUUCUUUAUUAUCGCCUUAGUAAACUUAGUUAUAUUUAUAGUCUGUUUCUCAGUUCUGUUCUUAGUGAAUAGUAAGGUACUGAGCCUAAGGAUAUAAGAUAUUCUUGUUUUAGUGUUAGUGUUAUGAGUGUAAUAGUAGGAUAUUGUAGAUCUAGACUAGUUUAUUGUAGUGUGUUUGUGUAGACCUAGGUCUAGUAUAGUAUACUGUAUUUUAUUAGUUGGUUUGAUCAGUUUGUGUUAGAUAGUUUGGUUAGUUUGUUAGUGUUUGUAGUGGUGUAGAUUUAGAGGGUUUUAGUUAGUUGCUGAGUUCAGUUGUAGUGGUUAGUCAAAUAAACUCUUUGCAAAAACUUUUAGGAUGAUAAUUAAUGUUUCGAAGGACUACUUUAUAGAACAACUAAUCCUAUAUGAAACAUUAAUCUCCGUAUCCACGAAUGUCUGUUGGACCGUUGAGGCACCAAGCAAGAUUUGUCGACCGUCUCUCUCCAUUUCUCCCUGUACUUGCCUUGUUUAAAACCUCUAUCAAUGAAAGAUUUGUGCAGACUCCAUCCUGUGGGUCAGUUCAUGAACAGAAUGCUAUACACAAAAUGUCAGGAGGCAGGAUUGGUGAAGUGGGAAAUUUCUGACUUUAUAAAUACUGAUGCAUUAAUCGUGUAUAUGUCCAGGUUUUAAAACUGAACGGUGAAGAGUACUGUAAUGGCAUGUUGAAUGAUUUGAAAGAACUGACUAUAGGGCCAUGGUUAACAUUGGAAGCAAUUAUUAAAGUAUCAAACUAAA